rnacentral:rRNA from 1 species
GACGAACGCUGGCGGCGUGCUUAACACAUGCAAGUCGAACGGAAAGGCCCUGCUCUUGUGGGGUGCUCGAGUGGCGAACGGGUGAGUAACACGUGAGUAACCUGCCCUUGACUUUGGGAUAACUUCAGGAAACUGGGGCUAAUACCGGAUAGGAGCUCCUGCUGCAUGGUGGGGGUUGGAAAGUUUCGGCGGUUGGGGAUGGACUCGCGGCUUAUCAGCUUGUUGGUGGGGUAGUGGCUUACAAAGGCUUUGACGGGUAGCCGGCCUGAGAGGGUGACCGGCCACAUUGGGACUGAGGUACGGCCCAGACUCCUACGGGAGGCAGCAGUGGGGAAUAUUGCACAAUGGGCGGAAGCCUGAUACAGCAACGCCGCGUGCGGGAUGACGGCCUUCGGGUUGUAAACCGCUUUCGCCUGUGACGAAGCGUGAGUGACGGUAAUGGGUAAAGAAGCACCGGCUAACUACGUG